AGCUGGAUCAUUUUUCCGAAUGAAAAAUCAUCAUCAAUAAAACGAUUACAAAGUGUUAUCUGCCGCCUCGACGCCAACCUCAAAUGCUGGUGUCGGUCACGGCUCACACAACGUGUCGCGAUGGAUGACUUGGCUUCCUAUUUCGUUGAAGAACGCAGCAAAGUGCGAUAAGUGGUAUCAAUUGCAGAACCAUCCCAUUACCGAAUCUUUGAACGCAAAAGGCGCCCGGGAGAAGACCCUUCAAGGUUCAUCCCCGUGCAUACCACAUUCUCAGUGUCGUAUCAAAAACCUCUCCUCCAUCAUUCACUUGUUGGAGCGACGAGCAAAAACUAAAGAGAGAGUCCUCGUUGUCGGGGCGAAACACCUUUCACUAGGUGUAUGGCCUGAUCCGCCGAGGUGAUGUCCGCCUGCCGCAGUCACAACUUGCGAGCAGCGACCAACACAACACAAAAAAUGCCAACCAGCGUAUCUUUUUGUGUCUCCAACUUUUGUUGAGGCAUCUUAACAAAAAUACAUCAAACAUUUCUCUUUACAGACCUGAGUGUGGUAGGACUACCCGCCGAACUUAAGCAUAUUACUCAGCGGAGGAAAAGAAAACAACCGUGAUUCCCUCAGUCAGCGGCGAGCGAAGAGGGAUCCAACUCGUUGCCGAAUCGGCCUUCACAAAGGCUUGACUUGUGGCAAAAACGCCGUUUUGUGCUUGGCGUGGGACUGGCGAAAGUCAAUAUUCAAAGCAAACCCAUUGCUGAAUCAGACCCUUCUCAUAGGAAUAUUGUGCCAAAGAAGGUGAUAGCCCAUUGAGCCAGAAACCCAGCGUCUCAUUAAACGGUACCAAGAGAGUAGCACUGUUUGGGAAUGCAGUGUCAAUUGGCAGGUAUGUGUCUGCCAAAGUUAAAUACAGAGUAGGAAGACCGAUAUCGAACAAGUAGCGUGAGCGAAAGUUUGAAAAGCGCUUUGGAGAGAAGGUGAAAUAGAACCUGAAAUCGUGACAAUGAUAAAGGAAGCAUCUCCAUUUUACUUCCGGCCAGAACCGUUCCUGAAGCAACAUCUCGUUUGGAAGGCGUCCCCUCCGGGGGCUGCCGAUCUUGCGAGCCAUGACGUCUGCAGAAUUGGGAUACGGAUUUCCGAGCGGAGAUAAAGCUUGUGACACCUUCGGGCGAGUCGCUUGCUUCUCCGGGACUCGUGAUCUGGCCUCCGAAAAUGGGAUGCCUCCCCCCGUCUUGAAACACGGACCAAGGAGUCAAACAGACGCGCAAGGGAGAAGAUAUUGUUGCCAGUACUUCUCUCGUACUGAAAGGGAGAUCCCUCAGGGAUCAUUGGUGUGCACACAAAACGAAUGCUCAACACCAACCGGCCCCAUGUGGGUUGAGUUUGAGUGUGCCUGUUUGGACCCGAAAGGUGGUGAACUAUGCCUGAACAAGGUGAAGCCAGGGGAAACCCCGGUGGAGGCCUGUAGCGGUGCUGACGUGCAAAUCGCUCGUAAGAUUUGGGUAUCGGAGCGAAAGACUCAUCGAACCACCUAGUAGCUGGUUCACGU
rnacentral:misc_RNA from 1 species